UACCAGCACCCCGAGUGGUCGGGAUGAUUAUUUGGCCUAAAGCAUCCGUAGCCGGCGCUCCAAGUCUUCCGUUAAAUCCACCUGCUCCACAGAUGGGCUGCGGGAGAUACUGUUGCGCUAGGAGGCGGGAGAGGCGAGGGGUAUUCCACGGGUAGGGGUAAAAUCCUCUGAUCCAUGGAGGACCACCAGUGGCGAAGGCGUCUCGCCAGAACGCGCUCGACGGUGAGGGAUGAAAGCUGGGGGAGCAAACCGG
rnacentral:rRNA from 1 species